AAGGCUUUAGCUUAAUUAAAGUGUCUGUUUUGCAUGCAGAAGAUGUGGGUUAGUAUCCUGCAAGUCUUA
rnacentral:tRNA from 4 species